rnacentral:tRNA from 1 species
GUCCCUGUAGCGCAAUGGAUAGCGCGUUGGGCUUCUUAUCCAAAGGUCGUGAGUUCAAAUCUCAUCUGGGAUG